UCUAUUGAACGAUUCGAAGAGUUACUAUUCAAAAUAUUUUCAUUUAAAUAUUUUAAAAAAAAAAUAAUAACGUCAAAUUCGUUCAUAUAACAAAUGUAUAUACGGUGGCAUUUAAAAUUUUUAAUUUUAUAAAUGUCAAUCCAUAUAUAUCACAGCAGC
rfam:Plasmodium ovale curtisi genome assembly, contig: contig82